AUGCUGGCUCAGUGUCCCCUGGGGGGCUGGCUCACUGCACCCACCCAUUCUGGCUGCCGGCUCCUCCUGGCAGGUGCUGGAGCUCCUCUAAGCACCGUGCCUGCUGCCUGCAGCAAGAAAGAAAGAGAGCGGAAGCCCAAGGAGUCGGCCCGGACUGGCUGGUCUCACAUUACUGUCAGCAGUGGCCUGUCAACCGCUUAUUUAAAGCUCACAAUGUCUGCUCUUGUUGCACAGACAGACCUGCCAUUAGGAGCUUUCCAGACCAAACCUCGGCUGCUCUGGAGAACAGUAAUUAAAUCAGCAGACCACGAUGUCUGCUUUCUGUUCUUUUCACACCUGUCUGCCAACAGCUGGCUUACUGGGUACAAGGAAGAUCUUGGCAGGGCCCAGACUGCUGGGGGAGCCCCUGGACAGUGUGUCCUGGGUUUAGAGCACCAGGAGUGGAAAGGAGAAGCCUCCAGGCUGCCAGGGGCUCAUCUGAAUGGAGGGUCAUCAGGUCAUUCAUACAACCUUCUGCCCUGCCCCUGUACCUCUUCUCAUCAACAAACAUUAAGGAGAAGCGAGAGCUGCUCUGCCCUUGUUCUUGAAGCAAGCCCUUUUGCUUAGGAAGCAAAGCCCUUUGGAAAGCUGGUGUUUCUGUCAAUGAUGCUUACAAAGCAGGUGAGUGGAGGCGGCUUCUGGCUGAGAGCCUGGGGUAGGUACUGCUCUAGCAAUGUCAGCUGAGCGUCCUCAGGCUUGUCACCUCUAAUAUGAGGGUGUUUUACUUGAUGAACUCUUUGAUCUUUUCUAGAUCCUAUUUUAAAUACUUUUCCAAGUACCUCAGCACUAUCCAAUAGAAGUUUCUGCAAUGGUGGGAAAGCUCACUAAAGCUUUGCUGUCUGAUAGUGGCAGCCAGUGGCCCCACGUGGCCACUGGGCAUGUGAAAUGUGCCUAGGGCAGGCAAGCCACAUUAUUUCAUUUAUUUUAAUGAAUUAAACUUUAUUAUUAAAAACUAUUAAAAUUAUUAUUGUUAUAAUUAUUUUAAUUAAUUUAAAUGUAAGCAGCCACAUAGCUUUCUAAGCUACCAUAUUAGAAAACACAGAUCUAGGAAGCCAGAUUCUAUCUUUAAAACCAUGGGUUGGGUCAAAUUCUGUCUGAAAAUUAUACCACAAAUCCACUCAGUUCUCUCAUUUCCAUUUUCUACCUUAAGCCGAACCACUAACAUUGCUUUCUCCUUGGUUUCUCUUCUCCCACUUUCACCGCCUAUAAUACUUUUGCCCCAGCCCAGAGCAAACUUCUUAAGACAUAAAGAAUAGGUAAAUAAAAUAUUUUUUUAAGGGAUCCCUGGGUGGCGC
rnacentral:lncRNA from 12 species